GGGAUGUGAUGAGUGGUAAAUGCUCGCAAUUCAACACGCGAGAUGGGUGCCCGCUCUGCCUUAUUACGACAUUGUGGCGCUCCUAUAUUCACCAAUCUGAUCCU